UGAAGGCGGCUGUGCCCGAAAGGGAACCGGAACACAGGUGCUGCAUGGCUGUCGUCAGCUCGUGUCGUGAGAUGUUGGGUUAAGUCCCGCAACGAGCGCAACCCUUGUCCCUAGUUGCUACGCAAGGGCACUCUAGGGAGACUGCCGGUGACAAACCGGAGGAAGGUGGGGAUGACGUCAAGUCCUCAUGGCCCUUAUGGGUAGGGCUUCACACGUCAUACAAUGGACGGUACAGAGGGUUGCCAACCCGCGAGGGGGAGCCAAUCCCUAGAAAGCCGUUCGUAGUCCGGAUCGCAGUCUGCAACUCGACUGCGUGAAGUCGGAAUCGCUAGUAAUCGCGGAUCAGCAUGUCGCGGUGAAUACGUUCCCGGGUCUUGUACACACCGCCCGUCACACCAUGGGAGCGGGAUGUACCAGAAGUAGGUAGGCUAACCGCAAGGGGGCCGCUUACCACGGUGCGUUUCGUGACUGGGGUGAAGUCGUAACAAGGUAGCCGU
rnacentral:rRNA from 1 species